rnacentral:rRNA from 1 species
UAGUUCCUACGGGACGCAGCAGUGGGGUAUAUUGCACAAUGGGGGGAACCCUGAUGCAGCGAAGCCGCGUGGGUGAAGAAGCGCCUCGGCGCGUAAAGCCCUGUCAGCAGGGAAGAAAAUGACGGUACCUGAAGAAGAAGCCCCGGCUAACUACGUGCCAGCAGCCGCGGUAAUACGUAGGGGGCAAGCGUUACCCGGAUUUACUGGGUGUAAAGGGGGCGCAGACGGCGAUGCAAGCCAGGAGUGAAAGCCCGGGGCCCAACCCCGGGGCUGCUCUUGGAACUGCGUGGCUGGAGUGCAGGAGG